rnacentral:rRNA from 1 species
UACGUAGGGUGCGAGCGUUAAUCGGAAUUACUGGGCGUAAAGCGUGCGCAGGCGGUUUUGUAAGCCAGAUGUGAAAUCCCCGGGCUUAACCUGGGGAUGGCAUUUGGGACUGCAAGGCUGGAGUUUGGCAGAGGAGACUGGAAUUCCUGGUGUAGCAGUGAAAUGCGUAGAUAUCAGGAGGAAUACCGAUGGCGAAGGCAGGUCUCUGGGCUAUAACUGACGCUCAUGCACGAAAGCGUGGGGAGCAAACAGG